rnacentral:rRNA from 1 species
CGGUCAACAAAGAGAGGCGAAACCGCGAGGUGGAGCAAAUCUCAAAAAGCCGUCCCAGUUCGGAUUGCAGGCUGCAACCCGCCUGCAUGAAGUUGGAAUCGCUAGUAAUCGCGGAUCAGCAUGCCGCGGUGAAUACGUUCCCGGGCCUUGUACACACCGCCCGUCACACCAUGAGAGUCGGGAACACCCGAAGUCCGUAGCCUAACCGCAAGGGGGGCGCGGCCGAAGGUGGGUUCGAUAAUUGGGGUGAAGUCGUAACAAGGUAUC